UUACAAUGGGGUUAGGGUUUGCCUGAAGAAGAGAUUGCGAGUUGGGGUUAAGGUUUCGUAGAAGAGAGAGAGGUUUGCAGAGAGGGUUCUUACAGGAGAAGGCUUGGGUUAUAGGAAGCGACGAAGCGUAGAGUAACUUGCAAGUUAUUCUUUCCGUUAAUGCUUGCCUUUCUGGCUUCUUCCCUUCCUAUUUGGAAGUCUCGAUCCCUGGAGAAGAGUGAAAAUCGGAGAAGCUUUAAUAGAAUCUGGCUUUAUGGUAAGAAAAAGGGAAUGGAUUCCUUCCAUAAAAGAGAGAGGGAGAGGAAGGACGGAGGGAAAAAGAAGAAAAAAAAAGGAAGCAUAGUUGGAGUCUUGGAGAGAGAGUAAAUCAUUCGGACUCUCAAAGUGAUGCCCAUCUUCUUCCUCCAGCAACUUCUGGGACAACGAUCGCUAUUGGCCUCCAGGAGCUCAGCCGUAUCUGUGUAACAACGCUGCAAGGAUAAAUUAAUUGAGCCUUGAACUAGAAAUCCAAGUUCUUGUAUCAGUGCUUGACUGCUUUCAGCUGCAGAAACUCACUAGCUUCCACAAUCCAUUGACCAGAUAAGGCGCGGCUCUGAACUCCCCUCAUUUCACUUUAGCUCUGAACUAAGAAAGAAUAGGGGGCAUUAAUGAAGGUUGGCCAGCGGAGGAAGCUUGAACGAGAAAGAAAGAUUGAAGUGGGUUGGCCGAUGUGGGAAAUCCACUGGAGAAGAAGAAGAAUCUAGAAGAGUAGGGAUCAGAGAGAGUCUGAGACAAUAUUAUGAUGAGAUCAAGGCGAGAUCAGCCACUAGCUUCUUCUAAAGCAGAACCUUGGCUUGUUUUUUGCCAUGGCGAGGACAUAGCUGGACAAAUUCUCUGCAACAUAUCAGAGGAUAGUUACUAUGGUAUGAGCAUAGCUGACAUGUUCCAGAAAGAAAUUUGCACUUGUUCACAUGGAUGGAUGGUAAUAAUGGAUUUUAAACGAGAAGGACAAUGUUUCUUGUUGGGACAAAAUCCAUCUACCACCACAUGAAUGGAAAUCAUUCGAAUACAAUGGAUGUUUGCUAUCUUCUCCCCCCAGUGAUUCCAACUGCAGUCUUGUUCACAGACUAUGACAAAUUUAGACUUUUGUUUUGUCGGCUUGGACACAACAGAUGGACUGAGAUAGAUCUGUUGAACGAAUCAUUCAACUUACAUAGUCCAGUCGGUAGCAACGGAAUCAUAUAUGCAUUAAUGGGGGGGGGGUGAGAUACUCGUGAGGAUUAAAAUGGAACAUGCAGAUCCUAAGCUUCUUAACCUAUUUGAAUUUUUACGGGAUAUUGCAUGUGCAGAAUCAGAUUCAAUAGGUGCAGAUUUGGUGUCAUUACUCGAUUGGGAGCUGAUAAGGUCUGGCAAUGAACUCUAUCUUAUGCAUAAGUUUUACUUGGCCCAAAGAAGAAAUACAGUUUGGAGUUUUCAAGAAUGGAAUGGAAAAGAGUGAGAAAUCUUGGCAGCAAGGCAUUAUUUAUUAAUCCAUAUGGAGAAGGUGGUUUCUAUUCUACUACGAUAGGAUCAUCAUCAUCAUCAUCAUCAUUAAGAAGGAUUUUGAGCAACUCCAUUUACUUUACUGAGAAGAAGGACAGUUACUUGUAUAGAUUCGACAUGAAAGAGAAAAGCAUUUCGGCUACAUUGCCAUGUCCACACCUAGAUUCCAGCAUUGCUAAUUCAGUGUGGGUAAUGCCUCAUGAUGCCCAAUCUGUAAGAAAAUCUCACAUCAUGAAGAUGGAGAUGAAGAUGCAGAUGCAGAUGCAGGGACAAAAUAGAGCUUUGCACAGGAAAAGAAAAGAUAUCCUUGAGGAGGACAGCAAGAAAGGAGAUUAUUUCCUCCCCAUUUUAUCCAAGGUGGUGACAAAGUACUCUUAUUAUGCAUGCACAGUUGGAGCUCUACUGCCACUACUUGUACUUUUUGUAAAAAAGUAUAAGAUGAAGCUAGGAAUGGUGAUUUCAGGGGCAAGCAUAGGUUCAUUAUUAAGGACGGUACAUGUGAUUUAGUAAGAAUUUUAUUUGAUUCCAACACCAAUUAUAACAUCUUUAUCUGCAUGUGAUAUGCUUCUUCUGUUUAAGCAUACACUGCUUAA